AUAGAGCGAGGGAGGAUUUGUUUCUUAAGUUGCGUUUUUGGAGUUGCAGUAACGUUAUAGAAGAACAACAUGCCCACCAGCUGUUGUGUGUACGGGUGUACAAAUCGAAAUCCUGAGGAACAUACAUUUUUUUGCAAUUCCCAGAGGAAACAGGCCAUUUAAAAGCACCGUAGGAGCCUGUGGCUGCAAGUAAAAGAACCGACUGGACCGAGGAUCAUCAAGAAUCAUAUCUGGUGAGAUGUCACUGGACCACGACAGUCCUGAUUUUGUGCCCUCUAUUUUUUCAUACACUAAACAAAACCAAAACCCCGAUGCAAAGAUCAAAAGGUACCAAAGAAAAAAGAAAUGGAGUGAAAGACUUCUGGUUGCUCCACCAAAUCAACCUGCUCCUGCUCCUGGAACUCCAGAGGAAGUCACCGGCAUGGAUCACAGUCCUAGUAACUCCAGAGGAAUCACCAGCAUGGAUCACAGUCCUAGUAAGUGUAGCCACUGUUGUGUCAUUUCAUGUCUCAUUGUAUGUAUAAUGGUUCAACCAUGCUGAGUAUUCUCCCCCUAUGCUGAUCUCCACAUCCAUUCUUUUCUUUACAACCCAUAUUUAUGCACAGUGUAGACUAACACAGUUGCAAUUAAUCUUAGGUCUAUGUAUGUGACAAAUAAAAUCUCCUUGUCCCUGUCCUUUU